rnacentral:sRNA from 1 species
UUUUAGCCCGGAUAGAAAUGAAAAGCCCACGACUUAAAAAGUGUAGUUUUUGCAGGUUUAAAGAAGCGACUGGAAGAAGCUUUUUUAAAGCAAUAAAAACACAUUUUUUAAGUGUGGACUUGUAAUGGAUAGCCGGAAUAGCU